AGAGUUUGAUCCUGGCUCAGGAUGAACGCUGGCGGCGUGCUUAACACAUGCAAGUCGAACGGGAAUGUUUCGCUGAUGCGAUUUCGGUCAAAUCUUGAAGCAUUUUAGUGGCGGACGGGUGAGUAACGCGUGGGUAACCUGCCCUGUACAGGGGGACAACAGUUGGAAACGACUGCUAAUACCGCAUAAGCGCACAGCUUCGCAUGAAGCAGUGUGAAAAACUCCGGUGGUACAGGAUGGACCCGCGUCUGAUUAGAUAGUUGGUGAGGUAACGGCCCACCAAGUCAACGAUCAGUAGCCGGCCUGAGAGGGCGAACGGUCACAUUGGGACUGAGACACGGCCCAAACUCCUACGGGAGGCAGCAGUGGGGAAUAUUGCACAAUGGGGGAAACCCUGAUGCAGCGACGCCGCGUGAGUGAAGAAGUAUUUCGGUAUGUAAAGCUCUAUCAGCAGGGAAGAAAACAAUGACGGUACCUGACUAAGAAGCCCCGGCUAACUACGUGCCAGCAGCCGCGGUAAUACGUAGGGGGCAAGCGUUAUCCGGAUUUACUGGGUGUAAAGGGAGCGCAGGCGGGAGAACAAGUUGGAAGUGAAAUCCAUGGGCUCAACCCAUGAACUGCUUUCAAAACUGUUUUUCUUGAGUAGUGCAGAGGUAGGCGGAAUUCCCGGUGUAGCGGUGGAAUGCGUAGAUAUCGGGAGGAACACCAGUGGCGAAGGCGGCCUACUGGGCACCAACUGACGCUGAGGCUCGAAAGUGUGGGUAGCAAACAGGAUUAGAUACCCUGGUAGUCCACACCGUAAACGAUGAUUACUAGGUGUUGGAGGAUUGACCCCUUCAGUGCCGCAGUUAACACAAUAAGUAAUCCACCUGGGGAGUACGACCGCAAGGUUGAAACUCAAAGGAAUUGACGGGGGCCCGCACAAGCAGUGGAGUAUGUGGUUUAAUUCGACGCAACGCGAAGAACCUUACCAAGUCUUGACAUCCCUUGACGAUGCUGGAAACAGUAUUUCUCUUCGGAGCAAGGAGACAGGUGGUGCAUGGUUGUCGUCAGCUCGUGUCGUGAGAUGUUGGGUUAAGUCCUGCAACGAGCGCAACCCUUAUGGUCAGUUACUACGCAAGAGGACUCUGGCCAGACUGCCGUUGACAAAACGGAGGAAGGUGGGGAUGACGUCAAAUCAUCAUGCCCUUUAUGACUUGGGCUACACACGUACUACAAUGGCGUUAAACAAAGAGAAGCAAGACCGCGAGGUGGAGCAAAACUCAGAAACAACGUCCCAGUUCGGACUGCAGGCUGCAACUCGCCUGCACGAAGUCGGAAUUGCUAGUAAUCGUGGAUCAGCAUGCCACGGUGAAUACGUUCCCGGGCCUUGUACACACCGCCCGUCACACCAUGAGAGCCGGGGGGACCCGAAGUCGGUAGUCUAACCGCAAGGAGGACGCCGCCGAAGGUAAAACUGGUGAUUGGGGUGAAGUCGUAACAAGGUA
rnacentral:rRNA from 1 species